UACGGAGGGUGCUAGCGUUGUUCGGAAUUACUGGGCGUAAAGAGCGUGUAGGCGGUUGGGAAAGUCAGAUGUGAAAGCCCGGGGCUCAACCCCGGAAGUGCAUUUGAAACUCCCCGGCUAGAGUAUGGGAGAGGAGAGUGGAAUUCCCAGUGUAGAGGUGAAAUUCGUAGAUAUUGGGAGGAACACCCGUGGCGAAGGCGACUCUCUGGACCAAUACUGACGCUGAGACGCGAAAGCGUGGGGAGCAAACAGGAUUAGAUACCCCUGUA
rnacentral:rRNA from 1 species